GAGUCUCACUCUGUCGCCCAGGCUGGAGUACAGUGGCACUAUCUCGGCUCACUGCAAACUCCACCUCCCGGGUUCAUGCCAUUCUCCUGCCUCAGCCUCCCAAGUAGCUGGCACUACAGGCGCCCGCCACCAUGCCUGGCUAAUUUUUUGUAGUUUUAGUAGAGACGAGGUUUCACCAUGUUAGCCAGGAUGGUCUCCAUCUCCUGACCUUGUGAUCCGCCCACCUCGGGCUCCCAAAGUGCUGGGAUUACAGGUGUGAGCCACCAUGCCCGGCCUCUUUCUGACUUCUUAAGCUAAAUACAAUAGUCACAAAUUCUCAAUCUUUCUCAUUUAAAAAUAAAUUUAUAUAAAGUUGCACAUUUACUUUCAAAUACGUCCUUUACUACAUCUCACACCUUUUUUUUUUUUUUAAGCAACAGGGUCUUGCUCUGUCACCCAAGUGAGAGUCCAGUGGUGUGAUCAUUGCUUACUGUAGCCUCCACCUCUUGGGCUCAAGUGAUCCUCCCAUCUCAGCCGCCUAAGUAGCUGGGAUUACAGGUGCACAUCACCGUGCCUGACUAAUUAAAAAAAUUUUUUUUUUAAAUCUGUGGAGACAAGGUCUCACUAUGUCGUCGCGGCUGGUCUCAAACUCCUGGACCCAAACAAUCCUCCCCUGUUAGCCCUCCCAAAGUGCUGGGAUUACACGUGUGAGCUACCAUGCCUGGCCCAUCUCAAAAGUUUUGAUGUGAAAUAUUUCAUAACUGUUUGGUUCUACAUACUUAUAAUUUCCACUGAGAUUUCCUCUUUUACCAUAAAUUACUGAGAUGUAUAUUUUUAAGUUUACAAACAUGUGGGCUAUUUUUUAUUGCUCAUUUAUAACUUAAUGGCAGUGUAGUCAGAGUCAUCUGAAUGAUACCAAUUUUUGUGAUUUGUUAAGUUUUCCAUUGUAACACAAUUAAUCUUUAUAAAUGGCUUAUAAUACACUUGCAAAUAACUUUAUUUGUUAGGUACAAUGUUGAAUUUUUAUAUUCAUUAGAUUGUUAAUUGUGUUAUUCAGUUAUCUUAUGUUCUUAUUAAAUUUUGACCUACAUUAUCUAUCAAUUUUUCUGAUAUGUUAAGAUCUCUCAUUAUGUUGAUUUGUCAGUUUCUGCUUUAAAUUCUGUUUUUGCUUUGUGUAAUUUGUUACUUGUUUUGCUUUAAUAUUUUUAAUGUAUGUAAUGAAUUAUAUAAUUUUGAGGCUGUGUUAUUAGUCACAUACAAGUUUAUGAUUAUUAAUAAUUAUUAUAUCCUCUAGGUGAAUUUUUUUCCUUUAUUAUUACAAAGUAUGCCUCUUCAUCCCUAUUAACACCUUUGGCUUUACAUAUUAUCUGAUGCAACAUUCUGUGAGCUUUAUUUUGGUUAAUAUUUGCAUGUGACAUAUAUUUAUGUUUUAUUAUUUUCAGUCUUUCUUGUGGGUUUUAGGUGUGUCUGUUUUUUUUUUUCUUUUUGAGACGGAAUCUUGCUCUGUUGCCCAGGCUGGAGUGCAGUGGCAUGAUCUUGGCUCACUGCAACCUCCUUCCCCUGUGUUCAAGCGAUUCUCCUGCCUCAGCCUCCCUAGUAGCUGGGAUUACAGGUGUGUGCCACCACAUCUGGCUAGUUUUUGUAUUUUUAGUAGAGACGGGGUUUCACCAUGUUGGCCAGGCUGGCCUUGAACUCCUGACCUCAAGUGAUCUGCCUGUCUUGGCCUCCCAAAAUGCUGGGAUUACAGGUGUGAGCCACCAUGCCCGGCCAGGCGUGUCUAUUUUAAGCAUCAUAUAGCUAGAUUAAAAAUGCAAAUGCAGUAUAAUAAUUUCGGUCUUUAAAUAGGUAGAUUUAAUCCAUUUAGAUUUCUUUGUGAUUAGUAAUGUAUAUGAGUUUAUUUCUUCAGUUCUGCUGCCUUAUUUAGGUAUUUUUACUUAUAAUGCUUUUGUUUUCUCUUUCUUCCUCCUCUGCCUUUUGUUGGAUUGAUAGUUUUUCAUAUUUCUCCCCUCUUCCCCACCUCACUUCUGGCUUGAAAGCUAUAGAUUGAUAGUUACCUUUAAAGUAUUCUAUCUAUUUUCCAUCAGACUCUAUAGUUAUUCAAUAAUUCUAGCUUCUUUCCAAUAGUAACAGUCAUUUCUCAUGUUACCUACUCACAGAUCACUCCCUUUAACUAUCUUAUAAUUGCUAUUUAUAGUUUUAUUUUUCUUCAAUUUUAAAAUAUCAAAGUUAGUUAUUUUAUAGUUCAGCAGUUAAUUACUUAUAUUAAUAUACUAUGUAUGUAUGUGUGUAUGUAUAUAUAUCUGCCAAUAGUUGCUUUUUACCUUUGAGUUACUUUUUUUCUUGCUGAAAUGUAUCCUUUAGUAAUUUUUUGUUUUGUUUGUUUUGUAAUGAGAAUCUGAGUAUGUUUUUGUAUUCCAGAUAAUGUCUUUAUUUUGUCCUCACUCUCAAAAGAUAGUUUAGCUGGAUAUGAAAUUCUAGGUUGAUAGUUAAUUUUCUCUCUGCAUACUUUUUGUACAUCUGUACUUCCUGUUGAGAAGUCCGCUGUGAGCCUAACUAUUGUUCCUUUAGAAGCUAUCUUUCUUUCCCUCUGUGUAUUAGUUAGGUUUUGCCCGAGAAACAGAAUCAAUUAAAUAAUGUGUGUGUGUGUGUACGUAUACAUACAUACAUAUAUAUAUAGUUAUACAUACACAUACACACAUAUAUAUGUAUAAAGAUAUUUAUUGUAAAGAAUUAGCUCAUGCAACACAGAGGCUUGGCAAGUCUAAAAUUUGAUAGAGGAGACUGGACAAUCAGGGAAGAGUUGCAGUUCAAAUCCAAAUGCAGUCUGGUGGUAAACAAGGAAUAGCCAAUGUUGCAAAUGAAGUCUGAAGGCAAUCUGCUGACAGAAUUCUCUCUUGCUUGGGGAAGGUCAGCCCUUUGUUCUGUUCAGGUCUUCAGCAGAUUGGAUGAGCCCCACCCAUAUUAUGGAGAGCAAUUUGCUUUACUCAAAGUUGAUUUAAAUGUAAAUCUCAUCUAAAAACACCCUCACAGAAAAAUCUAGAAUAAUUUCCAAAUGUCUAGGUAUCCUGGCCCAGCGAAGUUGACACAUAAAAGUAGCCAUAGCACUCUGGAAGCUAUUAAGAUUGUCUUUUUAUUCUGCAAUUUCAUUGUGAUAUGUCUAGUUGUGGAUUUAUUUUCAUAUAUUCUUGCUUAGUACUGAAAAUGUAAUAUACAUCUUCAGUUCUUAAAGAUUUUCAGCAUUUGUAUUUCUGAAUAGUGCUUCCCCACCAGUCCCUACAUUCUCUUGUUCUGGUAUUCCUGCUUGGUCAAUGUUGGAACCUUAUAAUUCUCCCUCUAUGUCUCUUAAUUGCUCUUCCAUAUUUUAGUUUUGUUUUCUCUCCAUGCUAUGUUCUGGAUGAGUUCCUCAGAACUCUCUGCAAUUUACUAAUUCUCUGUUUGUAUCUAAUCCAGAAUUUAUUUCACCUAGUAAGUUUUCAAAAAAAUUCUUGGAUUUCUAUUUUAUUUCAUAUCCACCUCUUCUUGUUUUGCAUUUGCUUAUUUUUGAUACAUAAUUUCUUGAAUUUUUUGUUUUUUUCUUUGAGAUGGAGUUUUGCUCUUGGCUGCCCAGCCUGCCCAGUUGCCCAGGCCGGAGUCCAAUGGUGUGAUCUCAGUUUACCACAACCUCCGCCUCCUGGGUUCAAGCAAUUCUCCUGCCUCAGCCUCCGAAGUAGCUGGGAUCACAGGCAUGCGCCACCACACCCGGGUAAUUUUGUAUUUUUAGUAGAGAUGGGGUUUCUCCAUAUUGGUCAGGCUGGUCUCGAACUCCCGAUCUCAGGUGAUCUGCCCACCUCAGCAUCUCAAAGUACUGGGAUUACAGGCGUGAGUCACCAUGCCCAGCCUCUUGAAUUGUUUUCAAUGAAGUUAUACAUUCAUUUACCUCCUUGAAUAUUUUAAACAUAAAUGAAGGCUUUGGUACAGGGAGCUAUGAAAUUUUAAUUUCAUCUAGGGUAAAUAUAGAUUUCAAUUUUGAUUUUGAGGGCUGACUUACAAUUUUGAUUUCCAGGCUUUGUUUUUUGAGACAGAGUCUUGUUCUGUUGUCCAGGCUGAAAUGCAAUGGCGUGAUCAUAGCUCACUGCAGCCUCGACCUCCUGGACUCAGGCAAUCCUCCCACGUCUGGAGUAGCUGCAACUGCAGCUGUAGCGGUAAACUCCCUGCCACUGCUUCCUGCUUCCAGCCCCAGAGAUCAGCUGUUUAAGUCCACAGAAAUGUUUAUUUUUUACUUUGGAGUCUGACUGUGUCUUUUUUGUUUUCUCUUAUGAUUUAGCUGUCAUUGCUGUGGUGUUUGGAGCAGAGAGUGAUCAAUGUGAGCUUAUUGUGUCAACUUAACUGGUUAACUCAUAUGAUUAAAAAUUUUUGCCUUACUAAUGUCACAAGAUACAUGAUCUGAUGGGAAACAAUUAGAAAAUAAAAAUAAAAGAAACAAUUAGAAAGUAAACACUUCUUUUAUUGGUAAGCAAUUGGUAUUGCUUACAUUGAGAAAAUAAACAUUGGUUGUGUUUGCAAAUCUUAGUCCAGAUGAAUCUUCUUUCAGAAUUUGUUCUACUCUCACUACCAGUAUGAUCAUCAGUCGGGAGAAAGUAUCACUGGUCUUGGCAGCUGGUGGCAGGAUGACUUUGCCCUGAUCAUUUCAAGUUUUGGUAUGAAAUGGAGAUUGUGCCAUCCUUAUCUACCUCAUUGGCGAGAACAUGUGUGAAAGCUCUUUGAAAUACAUUGGGAUGCUAUAGUAUGGUGAGUGCUAUUACUAAUGCUCCUUGUUUAUACUCGUUGGAGAGGACAGCAUUGUGUGGCCCAGGGAAAUAGUUUUGGAAGCAGGUGGAUCUGUGUUUUGAUUCUAGGUUUCCCUUAUUUUUUGUGUGAUCUUAGCAGGCAAGUCAGUUAACCUGACUCAUCAUGAAAUGAUAUUAUACUGUGUGCUUUUUUUUCCGUUUACCUGGGAUAGGACGUUGGCUUCCUCUUUGUUUCCUAUCACCCAAACACUUCAUUAGUGCCAAAUUCCAUCUCAGAGUUAAACGAGGGGACCUAAAAUGCCCAGGGCACUUUGCCCAUUAUCAAUCUUAAAUGUGGUUUCUUUUUCCAGGGCUUUAUCUAUGUGAAGCUCUUCUCAUAUUUGCCUUUGCCUUUCAUUAUUUCUUUUUAUUUCUUGGGUAUAGGGCCCUAGAACUUGAAAGUAUUUCUGAGGGACAUGUCCAAGGGCCCAAGGGGACAGAGGAAUAGAUCAAGCUCAGCUAUCUCCUGUCCUAGCUCUGCUGCCUUCUCUGCCCACCAUCUCCAACCAUCCCAAGGGCAGGUGUUUGUGGUGAGCACACCUAUGGUGCUGGCACUUUGUCAUCUCUUCUUACUAUCAUAUUUACAUGUACUGGACCAGAAAGCAACGUAUUUAGACUACGGAACCUCUGUGAGGGGAUAGAGAAUUCAGAUGAGGUGUGGUCAGUAGGAAUGUCAUUCCUGCCCUGCUGAGAGGUGACUGUGCUUGACAUAUAUGAAUCUGGACUUGGCCACAAGGCACUGGAAGAGGGAACUCUGAGACCUUGGCUGGUUUUAGCUUCCUCAUUGCUGAAAAGGGGUGUUGCUGUUGAUGGUGGCGUGAAAUCCGUGGCUGAGGGAAUGGCACUUUUGGUUGCUCUGGCUGCCCCUGUUCCAGGGAAGGCCCUGGUCCUCAUGCAGUGGUGGGGAUUGGUGGCUCUUUGUUGGGUCUCAGGGCAGGAUAUCUCAGGAUGAUAUUGCAAUCCCUUCCCUGACUCAUUUCUUCUUUAAAAUGGCCUCUUGAGAGCCUUCUUUGGCCAUCUGCUAGGAAUCUGACCAAUACCAAUUACUUUCUGAAUUUUUCUUGCUCUAAAGUCAAGAAACUAAGAUGGAGUGACCAGUAUCAAUAUACUUUCCUUUUCUGGUUUCUGGGUGAGGAAAGAUUAGCAUUGCUGGAAGGUGAGGUGGUUAUAUUAAAUUCAUUGCUUCCAUGCUAAAUCUUGACAAAUAUGAAAAGCAAAGGGAAAAGGGGGAGGGGAUCCUAACUCAAGCCUGGAAGCUUUUGAAUGGCUGGAAAAUCAUUGCAUUAAGACACAAUAAACAUCAAUCUGCAGGUAUGUUAUAAUUUUAUUUUUUUAAGAUAAGAUUGACUGGCUGUAACUGCUUUUGUAUCGGAGCAGGGAAGCCGUACCCGAACUUGAAAAUCUUUCAUCUGUUAUCCCUAAUACAUACUCACAAGCACAUCGCAGUCUUGAGGAAGUACAAUUAAAAAGGGGGUAAUCCUUUUUUCAAGUCCUCAGGUUUAAUUUUCCUGAUUAUGGUAGAUUAUAAGUCAUUCUGGGUCUUGGUCUCCAAGAGAGACAGCGCCUUCCCUUCAGUCCCUUUCAACAGUUGUUUAUGGCAGUUUCAGCCUCUUUCUGCCUCUCGGAGGCUCUUUAUUUUUAAAGCAAGGCAGACAAGGCCUAAAAUUAUUCCAUUAAAGAGGGGCAAUUUUUGUAAUGGGACUUAGAGUGCUUUGCAGAAGUGCAGGCAAGUUUCUUCAAUAUCCUGAGCAUUAUUCGCUCAUUUAGUUAAAUGAUGUUUCUAAUUCCCUGGUAAUUACGUGUAAUGAGGCACUUUUUCUCUUCUUGAUGAGACUUUAGCUUAAUAUGAGAUGGCGUAUUUUUUUCUUUUUUUUUUUUUCCAUGGGGAUAAUUACCCCUUCCCAGGAAAAGCAGGGUUUGUUGUGCAGAAUAUAGCAAAUUAUUUUAUUUCCUGCCAUCUUGACUGCCAGUAAAUUAUAAAAUUAAGUUUCAGUGGCGCAUUAGCACCAUUUUGGAAAAGGCUCAAGACUCCAUUUUUUCUUUUUCUUUUUCUCUUUCUUUCUUUCUUUUUUUUUUUUUCAAUUCAUGUACUGCUUUCCUCUGGGACUGUAGAGGCUAUUAUUCAUAGAACAGAUGUUUUUUUUCUGCCAAUUCCUAGUAUUCAGAUGUAUUGAAGCAGCAACAUAGGUUUAAUUUUUCUGGAUGAUAUCCAGCGUAGAAUGUUCUUAUAAGCGUCUUUGUGUUCAGUUAAUUAUCAUCAUAAAGUUAAGUAAUAUGUCCCCUCUUUUCUCUGGUCUCCUCUCACUCCUCCUUUGGAUGUCAAAUUACCUAUUUUUGUGCAAUGCUUUAAUUAGGUGCAAAGCAACUAAAUUUGAAUCACAUGAAGGUGGUGACACCAAUUAUUAAAAGGCAAGAAACUCAGUUAAUAUAGUCACUCUACUUAACUCUUUCUGUUGUUAAAAAGCAAAUUCGAGGAAAGAAAAAUAUGGGGAGAGCAUCAUUUAAUUAAGGACAGUGUCAUGCUGAACUUUGGUUUUCUGGAUUUAAUUAUUUUUACCAAUUUUAAGAAUUAUAUGUUUGUGUGUGUGUUUGUGCAAAUGCACACUUCUGCCAUUUUUUAUUUUUGUUUGUGCAGAAGAAACAUUUCUUUGGAAGAAGCAGCCAAAUGAGAUGAAAAGAGGAAAAGAGAGCUUUGGCCGGGGAGCCAGGGGGCUGGAGUUGUAGGGUAGACUCCAUUUACUCCCACCUGGCUGUGUGCUUCGGGCAAGACAAUCUUUUUGAGCUUCAGUUCCCUCCUGUGUAAAAUGUAUGAGUCGCAGCAGAGGAUCUCCAGUCUUUAGAAACUUGAAAGAUCUUCCUAUCAGUUAGCAAAAGAACCAUGUCGUUGGAGUUAUAGCAAAGUAGCCCAGAUUUAAAGUUUGAGGUUGGAUUGUUGUUGUCAUUUUUUGCCCCCCACCACCUGCUCUAUCAUCCCUUGUAAAGACGCUGGUUCCCAGGGAUCCAGGUGCCCCCAUCUCCUGUCUUGCUGACGGUCUUAUGGUUCCUGUUUGGGUUCUACUAAACUUCUAGGCCUGGAAAGUAGGGAGAUGCCACCAGUGCCCUGUCCAUGCAGCAUCAGUGUUUCAGGUGCGAGUGAACCAGGGUCAUUCACUGCAGAGGGAGAUGCCACCCAGUGCCCUGUCCACCCAGGAUCAGUUUCAGGUGUGAGUGAACCGGGAUGCCCUGUCCACACAGGGUCAGUGUUUCAGGUGUGAAUGAACUGGGGUCCUUCACUGCAGCCCUCAGUUUCCCUUGAGUCAUGGGUAGCCUAAUAUUUUCCUUUUCUUGAGGGCAGCCAGAGAAUUUUUUUGUUUGUUUGCAUGUUUGAAAUCAACAGCAGUGUUCUGAAAAUAAUACCGUCCUUUUCAGAUAAAUGUCAAAAGACUGAUGUGAGCUGAUUUCUUCAUGUUUGGGGAAUGGGGAAUGUUUACCAAAAUGACAAAUCUUUCUCACUUGUAUAAUUAGCCUGCAAUAAAAACCUCCCAUCCAGAGUUUUUAUUUUAAGAAACUGCUGUUUGGAAUAAUUCUGUUAUAGGAUAGUUAUGUUGGUCACUUCACUGUUUCACUUGGGAUCACCGAGGAGGCUCAUGCCGGCUUCCUGAUGGGUCCUCCAUAGGCAUAGCUCCAGGCACGUGCCUUCUCAGCUCAGCACCCUGCAGGAGCUCCAUGAUGACCACAUCACAGUGUAAACUCCGAAUCCCAGCGUGGACCAGAGGUGGGCCCAGAGUCAGAUGGAUUCGGGUCUGAGUCUUAGAUCUGCCACUCACAGAGUCUGUGAUCUUGGGCAAGUUGCUUACCAUUUCUGAGCCUGUUUUCUCAUCUUAAAAAUGAGCAUCGUAAUAAUACCUCAUCAAGUAAAAUAAGAUACAUGUAAGGCACAGAGCUUGGGACUUAACUGCUGAGUAAUGUGAACUGCUGGUAUUAUUGCUGUUAUGAUUACUACCUCACCUUUUACUGCUUGCUUAGAUGUAUGUGUGCCACAUCCCAACCACUGGUUCCUAACUCAUCCCAGGCUCUCCUGUCUUUGUGCCUCUGUUUAUACAGGUUUCUCUGCCCAGCAUAUUUUCCCUUUCUUACUUCCCCUGCCAUUCAUUUAUUCAUCAAAUACUUAUGGGGAGCAUCCAUGAUGUGCCAGUCCUAUUGGCCUGUUGGGCUCAUCUCAGACACAGCUUUGGUGACUGUCCUAGUGGGAAGGGCCCUCUGCAUCCCCCACAGGCCUGCAGGCCCAUGCUUUGCUGUGGCCACAUAUAAUGCACAGGGCCCUCUCUCAGUCACUCCUGUUCUCCUCUUUUCCACGUUGGUCCUAGUACAUCAUUUCCCAUGGAGGAGCUAUGUGAACAGAGACUGAAUUGAGGGAAAUCACUUUUGGAAUCCCAGCCCUCUCCUCAGGCGCCAGUGGAGCAUGAGCUGUGCUGUGGAUGAAGUCCGUUGGCACAGUGAGUCCCUGGGAUGGAACCUGCACUCGCUGCUUGACCCAUGGCUGGAGCCUCGGGGAUGCUCGGUGGACACCUCACAGGAGAUGAGAUUGACAGAGCCGGUUCUAGUCUUAGCUGUCUUCUUCCUUCCUGAAGGUUCCUGGACAAGUCACCUGAUCUUGUGGAACCCAAGUUUCUCCACCUCUAAAUGGAACACACUAAAUUGUUAUGAGUGAGCAUCAAAGGAAAUCAAGAGUGUGUGAUUUAGCUCUGCAUGCAACGGGCUCUCUAGAUAAUUUUCAUUGCAGUUAUUUUGACUUCACUUUGGUGAGUCGACUACCCCAGGUUUUGAAAUGAACAGAGGGAGGCAGAAUACGUGUUGUAAUCCCAGGCUACAGUUCUGGAGCCUUUAUUGAAGGAGAAGACAUUUUUUAUUUGUAAGAAUGAAAAACGGAAGGCGGGGAGCCUAUGUGGCACGGAAUUCAAGAAAUGGAGCAACUGGCCACUGGCGAUGGGAAGGCCCAUGGCAGAUUCUGCAAAUCUCUCUGGAGUUUCUGCUUGAGUUCCUGUUCGCCGCUGUGAGCCCCUCACUCUUUCGUUGCUGAGACACCUUCACCAUGGCUCAGGGGGCCACAUGCUAUUCCUCAGGUGGCGGAGGGCAGAGACCGAGGGAGUCGGUAAAAAGGAGAGGGCUGAAAAAUUCCUCUUAGCAUAAGAAUAAACAGUGAUUUGAAUAUUCAGUUGUGAGGGUUAUAAAUAACUGUGAGUUUUCAUUGAUGUGUAAGUGGUGAUACAUUUUGUACAAUAAUUAGUUAUUUGAUUACUUUUGUUUUAGCCUGAAGUAGAGGACAAUUGACAAAUGUGAAUACCUCUGAGACUGAUGGGGCGCAGUAAACUAACUUUAUUUAUUACAAAAUGCAAUUUUAUUAAUAUGAAUUGACAGUAAUUAAUUUGCUGGUGUUGAUGUUGUUAAUAAUUGCAUGUAAUUUAUGAAAUAUUCAUGCUAGAGCGGAAUAAAAUAAUGCACGGGUCGUCUGGCUUGUUUGCUAAGUCUGUGAAUAUUUCAACAAAGCCUUUCUAAUUCAAUGUAUUCAUAGUACAGUGGUUUAAAAUCCCACAAAAUUACCAAAAAUAUUUUAAUUUCUUAUUUGAGUGUUUCUUAACUUCCAGGCAUGUCCAGGGAUACUGUGCUUAUACUUCAGGGCACCAUGAAACUCCCUGAAAUUAAAUGGAGGAGGUGUUUUUUUGAGAGCCUCCCCCAGAAGAUUAAGUACCAGUGCAUUGUCUAACUUAAUGUUCAUCAAUGCUCCAAAAAUACUUUAUUCCCAUUUCAUAGAUACAGAAACCAAGGCUGAGAGAGAUGUCAUUGUUGCUGGUCCCAUGUAAGUUGAAGUGUCAGAGGUAAGAUUCAACUCUGUCCUCUGGCUUCUAAAUCCAGGACCCAUGGAGUAAAAUCUAAUUUUGCCUUUAUUCCAAUUUUUUUUUUUUUUUUCUGAAUGAAAGUAUGGACUGUUUCCCCCUCCUAAUUCAGUUUGGCCCUCUUGUUCCUAGAAAAGGAUUGUAAUUAGAGGGCAUCACAAUUGAAUUCAGCUAAUGUGAUCAGCAACAUGGGGGCCCCGCUGGAGCCUGUGGUCAGGCUCUGUGGAGGCGCUUCAGUCUGCUCCCUUGCUUUGGAGACCCCCUCCCCACUCUGAGGGCUGCAGGGCAGGGGCCAGGAAGUGGCUGUAUUUCGGAAGAGGCAGCUGUGGGGUGCUGGCACAUGCUCUAAACCCCCUAAGAAGUCAGGGCUCAGUUCCUAACUCCAGGGCUGACUUCCUGGGCCUGCACCGUGUUUGUGGGCUGCGACGGCCUCCACAUUUGGUUCAGUGCUCUAGUGUCACCAAUCCUUAGUAACUUUUGAACAAGGACUCUGCAUUUUCAAGUUCCCUGGCCCCGCAAAUUAUGUAGCCACUUCUGUAUUCCCUCUGGGACUCUAAGACAAGUUAUUUCGCUUCUCCGAGCCUCAGCUCUUCAUCUGGGAAAUGGGGACGAGAUGUUUUACUCUCUCAGAUUCUAGAGGGCGAUAAAUGAAUGCAUGCCCAAAAUGCCUUUUACAUUCUGAAGCCCGGGGCCAAUGCCAGGGAUUUGUAUCAGAGUGUUGUCUUCCAGUGUCUGCACCUUCCAGCUCUCCUGGGAGGGAGCAAGAGCUGCAGAAGGAUGACCACAGGAAGACUGAGUGUCCAGAGCUCUUUGUCAGCCCCCUUGACCCGCAUCCCAGGGCAGAGGCAUCGAACAAAGACCUAAGUCCAUGGAUAGUCCAAGGCAAUAAAUGCGCUCCACAUUCUUGGCUGUGGGUCUGGGAGGUUAGCACCAAAGCCAUCACAUGGGAAGGUUUAGGGUUUGAGAAAGCACCACCAUUACCUAUAUGUUUUCACCCCCCAGGCAUGUUCCCUAUUUGUUUUGAGAAGAAAAUGAAAGAAACAAAUUUUCUGCACAAAGUUUCCAACUGGCAAACAUUUUUCCAGCUGUGAGACCUUGGACACAUUUUCAUCUCAGAACUGUUUUUUCUUUUGUAAAAUGAUGUAAUAAUUGCAGUUAUCUCCGUGGGCUGUGGUGGGUAUUACACAAGAAAAUGCAAGUAGAACUCACAGAGAUUGGCCUGUAGGAAGCACUCAGUAACAGCUUUGCUUUGUCUUCUUGUGAUUGUUAUUCAUUAAUAAAAUUUAUGCUGCUCACAGA